ACAACUUGUAUAGCUUCAAAUACGAUUUUUUGAAAUUCCAGUGGCAGACAUUGUCAUUUUAGAAAGUCUUAUGAUAUACGGAAAUUGGAACGAAAGAGCCUUUUCACUACCCUCUUCCUCCAGAUUCUUCAGUAAUUUUUCUAUCUCCAAAAGACACACCACCAGGACUGCCUAGUAUCCCCCCCUCAUCUGAGUAACACUUAAAAAUUGCUCUAUGAUGGUCCAUGCAAAGGAGGAACCUCAGGGGAAGAACAAAACCUACUGAAGUUCAUAUUCAAGUUGAAAAUUAACAUGAUGCAAGUAUCGAUACAGAACUGUAUUAUCUAAUUCAGUCUCUCUUUGUACACUAUAAAUCAAAAUUUCUCAGGCUGGUUUCUCUGUGAGAAUGAAUACAGAUCAGCAACA